GGGCCCCUAACCGUGGUGAUGACGUGGAAGAGGCUUGACCGAGGAGGGAUCACUAGUUGUGUUGGCUAGGAUGGUGGAAACUGUCGUUCAUUGCGAGUAGCGUGAAAAACUUAUAGUUAGAGGCUUGGAAAAAAAAGAUAAGCAUGAAUAGGGUGCUAAGCCUAGAGAAGAGUAGAAAAAGCAUGUUCAAGACAGAGUAGACGAAAGCUGUAGCGAAGCAACGCUGGAGCAUGGAUUUACAACACAAUUAACAGCCCAGACACAGGAAUUUACCAUGCCCAUACAGUUUUCAGCUGGUUGCCCUAAAAACGGGACACGAUAAGAAAGGGACAUUUUGCCCUAGCAGUCACACACAGAUCCCAAUAGAGACACACGUUUGAGAGCUGAAACGACAAGGAGGAGGAAUCUAUCCAUUUUCGGGGAGAGAGCUGACGACAGGAAAAGCCCAUUAUGAACCAACAUAUUACCAUUAGGCGGUUCCUCACUCUCAUUGGCGGGAUGCAAUGCGUGCUGAAUUGGAUGCCAUGGAAGCUAAUAAUACUUGAUUCAUAGUGCCUUUGCCUUUCAAUCACCAUUCAAUUGGAUGCGAAUGGGUUUACAAGAUCAAGAAGCUAAGGGUUAUACUCAGCAAGAAGGCCUUGAUUAUAUUAAAACUUUCUCACCUAUUGCUAAAUUAGUUACUGUCAAGGUCUUACUUCAUCUUGUCAUUUCAUAUAAUUGGCCUUUAGUACAACUGGAUGUAAAUAAUGCUUUUUUGCAUGAGGAUUUGUUUGAGGAGGUGUAUAUGAAUUUGCCUUUGGGAUAUGAUCAUGACAAGGUUGCUUUUAAUGGGGAGCGUUU